rnacentral:misc_RNA from 1 species
GAUGAAGAACGUAGCGAAAUGCGAUACUUGGUGUGAAUUGCAGAAUCCCGUGAACCAUCGAGUCUUUGAACGCAAGUUGCGCCCGAAGCCGUCAGGCCGAGGGCACGCCUGCCUGGGUGUCACACGCCGUUGCCCCCCCGCGCCCCGCACCCAACGCUUUGGGAGCGACCGCGGGGCGGGCUGAUGAUGGCCUCCCGUGCGCUCCGCCGCGCGGUUGGCCCAAAUACCGAGUCCCCGGCGACGUGCGCCACGACGAUCGGUGGUUGAGAGACCUCUGUCGCAAGUCGUGCGCGCCCGUCGCGUCACGCGGGCUCGCAUAGCGCCUCGCGCCGCACCCGGUGCGGAGCUUUCAACGCGACCCCAGGUCAGGCGGGGUUACCCGCUGAAUUUAAGCAUAUCAAUAAGCGGAGGA